UACUGGAAAAUAUUUAGAUAGGGUAAAAAUAAUUAUCGAAAGUUAUAAGGAUAAAUUGUCCGAUCAGAAGGAGAGUAAAUUUAAUAAAGAUUUAUUUUUGAAGUCUCGGAUGGAUUUUUUUGGAUUGUGUUGUGUGAAUUUUCUUGCAGGUUGUGGAUCCGUUUUUACGGGGAAAUAAGUUUGAGAUUAUAGGGGAAGCGUCGCUGAAUUUUCGGUAGAAUUAAUUAAUCAGAAUAGAAAAAGAGAAAAAUAAGAUUAGAAUUUAAAAG
rnacentral:lncRNA from 1 species